rnacentral:rRNA from 1 species
GACGAACGCUGGCGGCGUGCCUAAUACAUGCAAGUCGAGCAAAGCGGCGGAUGGGUGAGUAACGCGUGGGUAACCGGCCCUUAAGUUUGGGAUACCAUUUGAUACCAGAUUCUAAUACCGGAUAAUAAAGGAUGGACCUGCGAUGCAUUAGCUAGGUGGGAAGGUAACGGCUUCCCAAGGCGAUGAUGCAUAGCCGAGUUGAGAGAAUGAUCGGCCAAAUUGGGACUGAGACACGGCCCAAACUCCGACGGGAGGCAGCAGUAGGGAAUCUUCCACAAUGGACGAAAGUCUGAUGGAGCAACGCCGCGUGAGUGAAGAAGGUUUUCGGAUCGUAAAGCUCUGUUGUUGGUGAAGCGGUAAUCAACCAGAAAGUCACGGCUAACUACGUGCCAGCAGCCGCGGUAAUUC